CAAAAUGAAGCUUAAUUGAAGCGCUUCGCUUACACCGAAACGAUGCCUGUGGAAAUCAGACCAUUUUGA
rnacentral:tRNA from 1 species